UACGUAGGGUGCGAGCGUUAUUCGGAAUUACUGGGCGUAAAGGGCGCGUAGGCGGCGUCGCAAGUCAGGCGUGAAAUCCCCGGGCUUAACCUGGGAACUGCACUUGAAACUACGAUGCUGGAGUAUGGCAGAGGGAGGUGGAAUUCCACGUGUAGCGGUGAAAUGCGUAGAGAUGUGGAGGAACACCGAUGGCGAAGGCAGCCUCCUGGGCCAAUACUGACGCUCAUGCACGAAAGCGUGGGGAGCAAACAGG
rnacentral:rRNA from 1 species